AUGUGUUUGGCUGUCCUCACGCUUCUGCGUGAUAUCGACGAAUUUGACAGGAACACAUUCGUAGACGAGCACGAAGAGGCGGUGGCGGCGGCGGGCUACCCCUGCGAGGUAGACGGACUCCUGCGGCAAAGGGAUGUGCUUUCGGUGUUCCAUGCAGCCUUGAGGAACUCACCAGUCAACACCAAGAAUCAAGCUGUGAAGGAACGAGCCCAGGGUGUAGUCCUGAAAGUACUCACAAACUUUAAGAGCAGCGAAAUUGAGCUGGCUGUGCAGUCACUGGACAGAAAUGGCAUUGACUUGCUAAUGAAGUACAUUUAUAAAGGGUUCGAGAAGCCCACAGAAAAUAGCGGUGCAGUGUUACUCCAGUGGCAUGAAAAGGCCUUAGCUGUAGGAGGACUAGGCUCCAUUAUAAGAGUUCUUACAGCAAGAAAGACUUAAAAAAAAAAU